UACGAAGGGGGCUAGCGUUGCUCGGAAUGACUGGGCGUAAAGGGCGCGUAGGCGGUUUGUACAGUCAGGUGUGAAAUUCCCGGGCUCAACCUGGGGGCUGCACUUGAUACGUAUGGACUGGAGUGGGGAAGAGGGUCGUGGAAUUCCCAGUGUAGAGGUGAAAUUCGUAGAUAUUGGGAAGAACACCGGUGGCGAAGGCGGCGACCUGGUCCUGUACUGACGCUGAGGAGCGAAAGCGUGGGGAGCGAACAGG
rnacentral:rRNA from 1 species